GGCCACAUCACGUUGAAACACCGGUUCCCGUACGAUCACCGAAGUUAAACAACAUUGAGCAUGGCCAGUACCGAGAUGGGCGACUUCUUGGUUGGGAAUACCAGGUGCUGUAAG